CCUGGUGGCUCAGUGGUAAAGAAUCUGCCUGCAAAGCAGGAGACCCGGGUUUGAUCCCUGGGUCAGGA
rnacentral:tRNA from 1 species